AGUCGAGGGGCAGCACGGGUAGUAAUAUCUGGUGGCGACCGGCGCAAGGGUGCGUAACGCGUGAGCAACAUGCCCGUAUCAGGGGAAUAAACCAGGGAAACUUGGUCUAAUACCCCAUAGCAAUUGGAGGAGGCAUCUUUUUCAAUUUAAAGCUUUGGUGGAUACGGAUUGGCUCGCGUGACAUUAGCUAGAUGGUAAGGUAACGGCUUACCAUGGCAACGAUGUCUAGGGGUUCUGAGAGGAAGAUCCCCCACACUGGAACUGAGACACGGUCCAGACUCCUACGGGAGGCAGCAGUGAGGAAUAUUGGACAAUGGAUGGAAAUCUGAUCCAGCCAUGCCGCGUGCAGGAAGACGGCCCUAUGGGUUGUAAACUGCUUUUAUAUGGGAGCAAUAAGGUCUAUGCGUAGACUGAUGAGAGUACCAUAUGAAUAAGCAUCGGCUAACUCCGUGCCAGCAGCCGCGGUAAUACGGGGGAUGCAAGCGUUAUCCGGAUUUAUUGGGUUUAAAGGGUGCGUAGGCGGUUUGAUAAGUCAGCGGUGAAAUAUUUCAGCUUAACUGGAAGGGUGCCGUUGAUACUGUCAGGCUUGAAUAUGGUUGCUGUGGGUGGAAUGUGUGGUGUAGCGGUGAAAUGCUUAGAGAUCACACAGAAUAUCGAUUGCGAAGGCAGCUCACAAAGCCAUUAUUGACGCUGAUGCACGAAAGUGUGGGGAUCAAACAGGAUUAGAUACCCUGGUAGUCCACACCGUAAACGAUGAUAACUCGCUGUCGGCGAUAUACAGUCGGUAGCCAAGCGAAAGCGAUAAGUUAUCCACCUGGGGAGUACG
rnacentral:rRNA from 1 species